AACGAACGCUGGCGGCAUGCCUAACACAUGCAAGUCGAACGAGAUCUUCGGGUCUAGUGGCGCACGGGUGCGUAACGCGUGGGAAUCUGCCCUUUGGUUCGGAAUAACAGUUGGAAACGACUGCUAAUACCGGAUGAUGACGAAAGUCCAAAGAUUUAUCGCUGGAGGAUGAGCCCGCGUAGGAUUAGCUAGUUGGUGUGGUAAAGGCGCACCAAGGCGACGAUCCUUAGCUGGUCUGAGAGGAUGAUCAGCCACACUGGGACUGAGACACGGCCCAGACUCCUACGGGAGGCAGCAGUGGGGAAUAUUGGACAAUGGGCGAAAGCCUGAUCCAGCAAUGCCGCGUGAGUGAUGAAGGCCUUAGGGUUGUAAAGCUCUUUUACCCGGGAUGAUAAUGACAGUACCGGGAGAAUAAGCUCCGGCUAACUCCGUGCCAGCCGCCGCGGUAA
rnacentral:rRNA from 1 species